UUCGCAAGUUAAGACGUCAAUAAAUGGGCAAAAUGAGGUCCUAUUUUCUUUACUUUAGAAAUUGCUAACGAAGGUGGGUCUCACGCAGCACUCAGAGCAUCAAUUUAGCUCAUCACAACACAAGUACUUUUGGACUGCCACAAGGAGGGUCGUUGAGCGACGCAAUGAACCAAGACUAGCGGGAUCUAAAAAAAGCCUGACAGGGCAGCGAAAACAAACAAAAAAAGUUGAACCAAAACUAAAUCAGACAUGCUCUUUUGGACUGUGCUGUGGAUUUCUGACCUUAUGAAACCCUGGGUAAGGUUAAAGGUUAAAUUGUUAGAUGCCGCCCGAGUCCAAGGACUUGGAGCCGUCACCUGAGGCCACCACAGCCAAAACUGCCGGACCAUUCUUCUUAUUGAAGUUUAUUUUCUUCUAUCUUUUUACUCAAACAACACCGUGUAAGCCUGCUCCAAGGAAAGCGGGAUUGAUUUUUUUUUUCUUGGGAUCGUUAAGCGCUAAAACCUCGUUUAUUUCUUCUUUUCCCUUACUCUGGGAGUGAGG